UUUUAAAAUGUGAUUUAUUUCCUUGAAAGAGAAGAAAAGAGAAUCUGUCCGAGGCGAAGCAGCCUGGCGGAGGGAUAGUACAGCUGGCUUCAUCAUGGUAGCCUUUAUGCUCAGUGCGAGUACGGCUGGAAUUUCGAAUUUCGAAUAAAUCAUUAUUUGUUGAAGGAUCCUCGAAAGGAAACUUCCGAAUGAGCGUGAAUCGACUCUGCUUUCAUCUUCAUCGCUCGACGCAAUCAAUCGCGAGGACAAAGUAAAAUGGAGGCCAAUCGCCGUUUCUGUGAAAUAGAUGAAUCGGUUCAUCGAAAUGCACAGAACAUUUUCAUUCUAUUAGCAAACAUCAAGCGAUUUACACCAUUCCAUUCUUUCAUCAAUCAACUCUAUUUUCCACUAAA